CCUACGGGUGGCAGCAGUGGGGGAUCUUGCACAAUGGGGGGAACCCUGAUGCAGCGACGCCGCGUGAGCGAAGAAGUACUUCGGUAUGUAAAGCUCUAUCAGCAGGGAAGAAAAUGACGGUAACUGACUAAGAAGCCCCGGCUAAAUACGUGCCAGCAGCCGCGGUAAUACGUAGGGGGCAAGCGUUAUCCGGAUUUAAGGGGUGUAAAGGGAGCGCAGGCGGUCUGCCAAGUCUGGUGUGAAAGCCCCGGGCCCAACCCCGGGGCUGCAUUGGAAACUGGCGGGCGGGAGUGUCGGAGGGGAAGGCGGAAUUCCAAGUGUAGCGGUGAAAUGCGUAGAUAUUAGGAGGAACACCGGUGGCGAAGGCGGCCUGCUGGACGAUAACUGACGCUGAGGCUCGAAAGCGUGGGGAGCAAACAGGAUUAGAUACCCUAGUAGUC
rnacentral:rRNA from 1 species